GAGUUUGAUCGUGGCUCAGGAUGAACGCUGGCGGCGUGCUUAACACAUGCAAGUCGAACGAAGCGCCUUAUUUGAUUUUCUUCGGAACUGAAGAUUUGGUGGCUGAGUGGCGGACGGGUGAGUAACGCGUGGGUAACCUGCCCUGUACAGGGGGAGUAACAAUCAGAAAUAGACUGCUAAUAACCGCAUAAGACCACAGCACCGCAUGGUGCAGGGGUAAAAACGUACCGUGGUACAGGAUGGACCGCGUCUGAUUAGCUGGUUGGUGAGGUAACGGCUCACCAAGGCGACGACCAGUAGCCGGCUUGAGAGAGUGAACGGCCACAUUGGGAC
rnacentral:rRNA from 1 species